UCAUCACACCAAAUUUUAUCCUUAUCUUUUUCCUUGAAUCCAGUCAUGACAAGUGAGAGUCUAAGUUGGUUUCUACCUCCCUUAUUCCCGAAUUUUCCUUCACCGUCGUCCACCUUUUGCCCUAAACUAUAUCAAAAUUUUUAUUUUCCCCCUUGUUUCAUCAAAUUACCCCAAGUAGAAACAUUGCGUCAUUGAUUUCUUCAUAUUUUUUCCUAGUCGCAUACUUAACUUCCCCAUCAAGCUUGAUUCUGCUUUUAGAGCUAAAGAAAAAGAUGCUUUUUAAUUGGGCUCAAAAGCUAUCCGGAUUGUAGGUUUUCGUUGUCCAGACCGUUCCUAAGAGAGUCGGGUUUCCACUGGAGACUACUGGCGAGCUUUUAACUGUCAGAUGUACCAAUUCUUCUUCUAGGAGAGAGAUGUCAUCCCUCUCCAUAACUAUCUUUGUCACCACCCUACUCAGAACCCAACCACAACAAACCUGUUUCUUUGGGAGAGUACGAGAGAGCACUUUUGACUUACACCAAUGUAAACUUAAGUACUUUUUCUAUUUUUUUAUAUAGUUUGUUCUAUAUUAUUAGUUGCAGUUUUAUGUCUUUUAUACAUUGUGAUUAUCAUAUGAUGUUUAAUACUCAUGUUGAUUAAUGGGAACAUUUUUUAAAGGGAUAAA